rnacentral:rRNA from 1 species
GACGAACGCUGGCGGCGUGCUUAACACAUGCAAGUCGAACGGAAAGGCCUCUUUCGGGGGGUACUCGAGUGGCGAACGGGUGAGUAACACGUGAGUAACCUGCCCUUGACUUUGGGAUAACUUCAGGAAACUGGGGCUAAUACCGGAUAGGAGCUCCUGCUGCAUGGUGGGGUUGGAAAGUUUCGGCGGUUGGGGAUGGACUCGCGGCUUAUCAGCUUGUUGGUGGGGUAGUGGCUUACCAAGGCUUUGACGGGUAGCCGGCCUGAGAGGGUGACCGGCCACAUUGGGACUGAGAUACGGCCCAGACUCCUACGGGAGGCAGCAGUGGGGAAUAUUGCACAAUGGGUGGAAGCCUGAUGCAGCAACGCCGUGUGCGGGAUGACGGCCUUCGGGUUGUAAACCGCUUUCGCUCAUGACGAAGCUUUGCGUGACGGUAGUGGGUAAAGAAGCACCGGCUAACUACGUG